UAGAGAGAGACAUGCGCGCAUAUCAAUAAGCGGAGGAAAAGAAACUAACUAGGAUUCCCUCAGUAACGGCGAGUGAAGCGGGAAGAGCUCAAAUUUGAAAUCUUCAAGGUUCUACCUUGACGAAUUGUAGUUUAAAGAAGUGUUUUCUGUUGGAGUUUUGGUAAAAGUUCUUUGGAAAAAGACAUCAAAGAGGGUGAGAAUCCCGUAUUUGACCAUUAUUUCCAACUUUGUGAUACACUUUCAAAGAGUCGGAUUGUUUGGGAAUGCAGUCCAAAAUGGGUGGUAAAUUUCAUCUAAAGCUAAAUAUUGGCGAGAGACCGAUAGCGAACAAGUACCGUGAGGGAAAGAUGAAAAGAACUUUAAGAAGAGAGUUAAACAGUACGUGAAAUUGUCAAAAGGGAAGCGUUUGACACCAGUGUUGUUUUCUCGAAAAUCAAUUAUGAAAUGGCUUGAUUUGUAGUUGUCAUGACCUUAUAAGCUUGUUGCUUAUUUUUCCUGUCUUUCUUAAUGCACUUUUCGUUUAACAAGUCAACAUCAAUUUCUUUUGUUGUAAAAGAGUCAUUGGAAGGUGGCUUUCUUUUCGGAGAAAGUGUUUAUAGCCUUUGCUCUCUGCAAUCGGAGAGAUUGAGGUCUGCAGCGUAGAUCCUUCGGGGUUAGAUACAUUUGUGCUAAGCUAUAGCUUUUUAUAGACAACUUGUUGACUAUAUUUAGUCUUGUGGCCUACUCGCUUAUGCUAUUUUACCUACGCUUAGGAUGUUGACAGCAGUAUAGACUGU
rnacentral:rRNA from 1 species